CCCUAAAACCUAAACUAGUCUGACUUCCCUUCUCUCACGCCGUCACCUCCCUUUCCCCACUUUUCCAUUCCAUUCUUUAACCCAUCGCUUUUUUAUUCUUAGACAGAAAAGGUAAGUUGGUGGAAUUAGAGUAAUGACUAGUUAAGACCAAGAUAAGGUGCAGUUAAAGACCCAAAGAUGAGUAAAAGAAGAGGACGGUGUCUCAAGCAAGCUUGAUGGUUUUGUAGAAGAAUUGUAUAUAUAUAUAUAUAUAUAUAUAUAUAUAUAUAUAUAUAUAUAUAUAUGUGUGUGUGUGUGUGUGUGUGUGUGUGUUUUAUUAACAGCCUUAUGUGUAACUUUGAAUUUGUUUUGGAAUCUAAAAUAUUUGGGAUUUUA